UUAAGCGACUAAGCGUACACGGUGGAUGCCCUGGCAGUCAGAGGCGAUGAAGGACGUGCUAAUCUGCGAAAAGCGUCGGUAAGGUGAUAUGAACCGUUAUAGCCGGCGAUGUCCGAAUGGGGAAACCCAGUGCAAUUCGUUGCACUAUCGUUAACUGAAUACAUAGGUUAACGAGGCGAACCGGGGGAACUGAAACAUCUAAGUACCCCGAGGAAAAGAAAUCAACCGAGAUUCCCCCAGUAGCGGCGAGCGAACGGGGAGCAGCCCAGAGUCUGAAUCAGCUUGUGUGUUAGUGGAACGGUCUGGAAAGUCCGACGGUACAGGGUGAUAGUCCCGUACACCAAAAUGCACAGGCUGUGAACUCGAAGAGUAGGGCGGGACACGUGGUAUCCUGUCUGAAUAUGGGGGGACCAUCCUCCAAGGCUAAAUACUCCUGACUGACCGAUAGUGAACCAGUACCGUGAGGGAAAGGCGAAAAGAACCCCGGCGAGGGGAGUGAAAAAGAACCUGAAACCGUGUACGUACAAGCAGUGGGAGCACCUUCGGGUGUGACUGCGUACCUUUUGUAUAAUGGGUCAGCGACUUAUAUUCUGUAGCAAGGUUAACCGUAUAGGGGAGCCGCAGGGAAACCGAGUCUUAACUGGGCGUUAAGUUGCAGGGUAUAGACCCGAAACCCGGUGAUCUAGCCAUGGGCAGGUUGAAGGUUGGGUAACACUAACUGGAGGACCGAACCGACUAAUGUUGAAAAAUUAGCGGAUGACUUGUGGCUGGGGGUGAAAGGCCAAUCAAACCGGGAGAUAGCUGGUUCUCCCCGAAAGCUAUUUAGGUAGCGCCUCGUGAACUCAUCUUCGGGGGUAGAGCACUGUUUCGGCUAGGGGGUCAUCCCGACUUACCAACCCGAUGCAAACUACGAAUACCGAAGAAUGUUAUCACGGGAGACACACGGCGGGUGCUAACGUCCGUCGUGAAGAGGGAAACAACCCAGACCGCCAGCUAAGGUCCCAAAGUCAUGGUUAAGUGGGAAACGAUGUGGGAAGGCACAGACAGCCAGGAUGUUGGCUUAGAAGCAGCCAUCAUUUAAAGAAAGCGUAAUAGCUCACUGGUCGAGUCGGCCUGCGCGGAAGAUGUAACGGGGCUAAACCAUGCACCGAAGCUGCGGCAGCGACACUAUGUGUUGUUGGGUAGGGGAGCGUUCUGUAAGCCUGCGAAGGUGUGCUGUGAGGCAUGCUGGAGGUAUCAGAAGUGCGAAUGCUGACAUAAGUAACGAUAAAGCGGGUGAAAAGCCCGCUCGCCGGAAGACCAAGGGUUCCUGUCCAACGUUAAUCGGGGCAGGGUGAGUCGACCCCUAAGGCGAGGCCGAAAGGCGUAGUCGAUGGGAAACAGGUUAAUAUUCCUGUACUUGGUGUUACUGCGAAGGGGGGACGGAGAAGGCUAUGUUAGCCGGGCGACGGUUGUCCCGGUUUAAGCAUGUAGGCUGAUUAUCCAGGCAAAUCCGGAUAAUCAAGGCUGAGGUGUGAUGACGAGGCACUACGGUGCUGAAGUAACAAAUGCCCUGCUUCCAGGAAAAGCCUCUAAGCAUCAGGUAACAUCAAAUCGUACCCCAAACCGACACAGGUGGUCAGGUAGAGAAUACCAAGGCGCUUGAGAGAACUCGGGUGAAGGAACUAGGCAAAAUGGUGCCGUAACUUCGGGAGAAGGCACGCUGGUGUGUAGGUGAAGUCCCUGCGGAUGGAGCUGAGACCAGUCGAAGAUACCAGCUGGCUGCAACUGUUUAUUAAAAACACAGCACUGUGCAAACACGAAAGUGGACGUAUACGGUGUGACGCCUGCCCGGUGCCGGAAGGUUAAUUGAUGGGGUUAUCCGUAAGGAGAAGCUCUUGAUCGAAGCCCCGGUAAACGGCGGCCGUAACUAUAACGGUCCUAAGGUAGCGAAAUUCCUUGUCGGGUAAGUUCCGACCUGCACGAAUGGCGUAAUGAUGGCCAGGCUGUCUCCACCCGAGACUCAGUGAAAUUGAACUCGCUGUGAAGAUGCAGUGUACCCGCGGCAAGACGGAAAGACCCCGUGAACCUUUACUAUAGCUUGACACUGAACAUUGAGCCUUGAUGUGUAGGAUAGGUGGGAGGCUUUGAAGCGUGGACGCCAGUCUGCGUGGAGCCAACCUUGAAAUACCACCCUUUAAUGUUUGAUGUUCUAACGUUGGCCCCUGACCGGGGUUGCGGACAGUGUCUGGUGGGUAGUUUGACUGGGGCGGUCUCCUCCCAAAGCGUAACGGAGGAGCACGAAGGUUAGCUAAUCCUGGUCGGACAUCAGGAGGUUAGUGCAAUGGCAUAAGCUAGCUUGACUGCGAGCGUGACGGCGCGAGCAGGUGCGAAAGCAGGUCAUAGUGAUCCGGUGGUUCUGAAUGGAAGGGCCAUCGCUCAACGGAUAAAAGGUACUCCGGGGAUAACAGGCUGAUACCGCCCAAGAGUUCAUAUCGACGGCGGUGUUUGGCACCUCGAUGUCGGCUCAUCACAUCCUGGGGCUGAAGUAGGUCCCAAGGGUAUGGCUGUUCGCCAUUUAAAGUGGUACGCGAGCUGGGUUUAGAACGUCGUGAGACAGUUCGGUCCCUAUCUGCCGUGGGCGCUGGAGAAUUGAGGGGGGCUGCUCCUAGUACGAGAGGACCGGAGUGGACGCAUCACUGGUGUUCGGGUUGUCAUGCCAAUGGCACUGCCCGGUAGCUAAAUGCGGAAGAGAUAAGUGCUGAAAGCAUCUAAGCACGAAACUUGCCCCGAGAUGAGUUCUCCCUGAGACUAUAAGUCUCCUGAAGGAACGUUGAAGACGACGACGUUGAUAGGCCGGGUGUGUAAGCGCAGCGAUGCGUUGAGCUAACCGGUACUAAUGAACCGUGAGGCUUAACCUU
rnacentral:rRNA from 1 species